CAGUCCUGUGUCAUGGCAACAGUAAAACAUCCUGAGACCAUUCAUGUGUGGGGUUACUUCUCAUCCAAGGGAGUGGGCUCACUCACAAUUUUGCCCAAAAACACAGCCAUGAAUAAAGAUUGGUACCAAAACACCCUUCAACAGCAACUUCUUCCAACAAUCCAACAACAGUUUGGUGAAGAACAAUGCAUUUUCCAGCACGAUGGAGCACCGUGCCAUAAGGCAAAAGUGAUAACUAAGUGGCUCGGGGACCAAAACGUUGAAAUUUUGGGUCCAUGGCCUGGAAACUCCCCAGAUCUUAAUCCCAUUGAGAACUUGUGGUCAAUCCUCAAGAGGCGGGUGGACAAACAAAAACCCACUAAUUCUGACAAACUCCAAGAAGUGAUUAUGAAAGAAUGGGUUGCUAUCAGUCAGGAUUUGGCCCAGAAGUUGAUUGAGAGCAUGCCCAGUCGAAUUGCAGAGGUCCUGAAAAAGAAGGGCCAACACUGCAAAUACUGACUCUUUGCAUAAAUGUCAUGUAAUUGUCGAUAAAAGCCUUUGAAACGUAUAAAGUGCUUGUAAUUAUGUUUUAGUACAUCACAGAAACAACUAAAAGAUCUAAAAGCUGUUUAGCAGAAAACUUUGUGAAAACUAAUAUUUGUGUUAUUCGCAAAACUUUUGGCCACGUAUAAUGUAUACAGUGCACAGUAAUAUUCCUUCUUCACAUAUCCUAGCAUAACUGGGGUCAGAGUGCAGGGUCAGCCAUGAUACAGCACCCCUGGAGCAUUUAGGGUUAAGGGCAUUGCUCAAGGGCCCAACAGUGGCAACCUGGUGGAGCUGGGGAUCGAACCGCCAAUCUUCCGAUCAGUCAGCUACCACUGCCCCUUAUUGACUUAAUUAUUAAGGUGGUACAAAUAAACUGAUUUGAAACUUUAGUAUUUGAGCAAUAAAUAAAACGUUACAGGAAAAUAUCUGUAAGACAGAAAAAAAAGCAACUUACUAUGAAUCACUUUUCAGACUGUUGGUUUUUGCAUGCAUGAGAAAAGGAGUACGUGUGAAAGUUCUCAGAAGGAAAUAGCACUGUGCAAACUUAAUUAAUUAUUUAUUUUUUAUUUAGAUGAUUAGAUUGGUUGUAUUGCUACAGUACAUAUUACAACAUAUAGCAAUUCCUUUUCAGUAACUGUUUUAAUUUCUUCUGCAUCACAGUAAAUUUGAAUGAGCUUAUCAUGUAUAUGUGUGUGUGUGUGUGGUAAAAAUACACAAUGGAGAGAAUGCCAGUCCAAACUGCAGUGGCCUGGUGUCAGGAUAUAUUCCUACAGCACAAUUACUGUAUAUACAGAAUCCCUCAAGUGGUUUUCAUGACAAGAGUAGAUCGUGCAUGUUCAAUGACAAAGAGGAAUUUGCAAAAAAUCUACAAAAGUAAAAAGAUCAGAGAUAAUAUGCGUAAAUGCAGUAAUAUCCUGGGCAUACCUGUAAACUGCAUCUUCCCUGGUUCGAACUAUCACGAGGAAACCCAUGUGAAUGAGGAUAUAAACUGUCUAAUGCUGGAUGCUUUAACACAGAUUAUACAUUUUGCUAAUGACUACGUGGUCAAACAUUCCAACAGUCAAAUUUUACAUCAACAACAAAUUUGUGAAUAAGAAAUUUUACAUAAGAUUUGAAAAGCAGAAUGACAACUACUGUAGUUCUGCAUUUCGAAUUGUUCUUUACAAUUAUCCAAUCUAUAAUUCAAAUCUAGAUGCAACACAUUUUAAAUAAUGACCAUACGUUAUCCUCAUGAUAUGAUACAGAUUUGGAAAAUAAUUUUAAUGACAGAAAUGCAGAGAUUCAAUUCAAUUCAAAUUUAUUUGUAUAGCGCUUUUAACGAUUUACAUCAUCACAAAGCAGCUUUACACAAUCAAAAGAAUUAAGUUUGUAUAAAAUGUGAAUAUGUAUGAAUCAAAAUUAUAUGAUUGUCCCUGAUGAGCAAGCCUAGGACGACAGCGACAGUGGCAAGGAAAAACUCCCUGAGAUGGUAAUAGGAAGAAACCUUGAGAGGAACCAGACUCAACAGGGAACCCGUCCUCAUCUAGGUAAUAACAGAUAGCAGGGAUUGAUGUGCAUAAUAAUAUGCGAGACUGAAAGUUCAGUAUAAGAGGAG